rnacentral:rRNA from 1 species
UAAGGAAUUGUUCGCAAUGGGCGCAAGCCUGACGACGCAAUGCCGCGUGGAGGACGAAGGCCUUCGGGUCGUAAACUCCUGUCGAGCGGGAAGAAGAGUGCACGGGUCAAUACCCCGUGCGCCUGACGGUACCGCUAAAGGAAGCCCCGGCUAACUCCGUGCCAGCAGCCGCGGUAAUACGGAGGGGGCUAGCGUUGUUCGGAUUUACUGGGCGUAAAGGGCUCGUAGGCGGCCAUUUAAGUCGGUUGUGAAAUCCCUCGGCUCAACCGAGGAACUGCGACCGAUACUGGGUGGCUUGAAGCCGGGAGAGGGAUGCGGAAUUCCAGGUGUAGCGGUGAAAUGCGUAGAUAUCUGGAGGAACACCCGUGGCGAAGGCGGCAUCCUGGACCGGUCUUGACGCUGAGGAGCGAAAGCUAGGGUAGCAAACGGGAUUAGAUACCCCCGUAGUCC